CUAGAGAAAAGCUGGAUCGAGAACUCACACCCUAUCGGUUGUCACAAGCUGCACAGGCGGAGGGUCUGUAGCUCAGUCGGUUAGAGCAUCGUCUUGAUAAGGCGAGGGUCGUUGGUUCGAUUCCAACCAGACCCACCAGCGUCUCGACGGCAGGCGAGGGGGGCGAAGGGUAGAUGCGACGGGACGCCGAUCAGGCGUCGGGACAAGAAGCUGCUGGUUGCCGAUCGGCGGGGGAUUAGCUCAGCUGGGAGAGCACCUGCUUUGCAAGCAGGGGGUCGUCGGUUCGAUCCCGUCAUCCUCCACCAAGUCCGCGAACGUGAGAAGUCAGGCCUGCAGGGUCAUUGACGCUGCAGGCCUGACUCUUUACGGGUCUGUGCUCUUUAAAAAACUGGAAGAAGGUUGUAUUGCCAAGGACCCGAAUGAUUGGGCGAUGGGCAAUACGGUUGUGAUUGCAUCAAACCCCCUGGAUAGCAGGGGGGCACAAAAGAGUUGCCUGUAGCUGGUGUUCUCGCAAGAGAGCUCAAGGUUAUAG
rnacentral:tRNA from 1 species